rnacentral:rRNA from 1 species
UCGCCCGCGGGCGCCCCGCGCCCGUCCCGCCGCCCCCGCCCGCCCUACGGGGCGCAGCAGGCGCGAAAACUUUACAAUGCGAGAAAUCGUGAUAAGGGAACCCCGAGUGCCCGUAAAUUCGGGCUGUUAAUCUGUGUAAAAAGCAGGUGGAGAAAGGGCCGGGCAAGACCGGUGCCAGCCGCCGCGGUAAUACCGGCGGCUCGAGUGGUGGCCACUAUUACUGGGCUUAAAGCGUCCGUAGCUGGAUUGU